UUCGGUGGUCAUAGCGUUAGGGAAACGCCCGGUCACAUUCCGAACCCGGAAGCUAAGCCUUUCAGCGCCGAUGGUACUGCAGGGGGGACCCUGUGGGAGAGUAGGACACCGCCGAAC
rnacentral:rRNA from 4 species